UACGGAGGGUGCAAGCGUUAUCCGGAUUCACUGGGUUUAAAGGGUGCGUAGGCGGAUUUGUAAGUCCUUGGUGAAAUCUCCGAGCUUAACUCGGAAACUGCCAUGGAUACUAUAAGUCUUGAAUGUUGUGGAGGUUUGCGGAAUAUGUCAUGUAGCGGUGAAAUGCUUAGAUAUGACAUAGAACACCGAUUGCGAAGGCAGCAGGCUACACAAAUAUUGACGCUGAGGCACGAAAGCGUGGGGAUCAAACAGG
rnacentral:rRNA from 1 species